CGAGGGGUAGUAUAAUUUUGUACAUUGGGUUUGGGACUCAAAGGUCCUUUUUUUAGGGUCUCUCGU
rnacentral:tRNA from 1 species